AUANUGCAGUCGAGCGACAGAUAAGGAGCUUGCUCCUUUGACGUUAGCGGCGGACGGGUGAGUAACACGUGGAUAACCUACCUAUAAGACUGGGAUAACUUCGGGAAACCGGAGCUAAUACCGGAUAACAUAUUGAACCGCAUGGUUCAAUAGUGAAAGGCGGCUUUGCUGUCACUUAUAGAUGGAUCCGCGCCGUAUUAGCUAGUUGGUAAGGUAACGGCUUACCAAGGCAACGAUACGUAGCCGACCUGAGAGGGUGAUCGGCCACACUGGAACUGAGACACGGUCCAGACUCCUACGGGAGGCAGCAGUAGGGAAUCUUCCGCAAUGGGCGAAAGCCUGACGGAGCAACGCCGCGUGAGUGAUGAAGGUCUUCGGAUCGUAAAACUCUGUUAUCAGGGAAGAACAAAUGUGUAAGUAACUGUGCACAUCUUGACGGUACCUGAUCAGAAAGCCACGGCUAACUACGUGCCAGCAGCCGCGGUAAUACGUAGGUGGCAAGCGUUAUCCGGAAUUAUUGGGCGUAAAGCGCGCGUAGGCGGUUUUUUAAGUCUGAUGUGAAAGCCCACGGCUCAACCGUGGAGGGUCAUUGGAAACUGGAAAACUUGAGUGCAGAAGAGGAAAGUGGAAUUCCAUGUGUAGCGNNAA
rnacentral:rRNA from 1 species